rnacentral:lncRNA from 10 species
GGCAGGUGAAGAGUGAUGGGUUGGUGCCACGUUCCUGGAUUCAGCCACCUUAACCCUGUUUAUUGUGAUUUAAUAGAAAUCCACUCACUGUGCCAUGCAUAUAAAAUGAAGUUUAUCCUAAGAUUUUUGCCUUUUCAAGCAUCUAAAUUCCUCAGUUUCUCAGAGAAUAGGCCAGGACCCAGAAGAAAAAAGUCAACUUUGAGUAAUAAAAUCAAAAUGAUAUUGAACACUAGAUAGAUAGAUAGAUAGAUAGAUAGAUAGAUAGAUAGAUAGAAAAAAGGGAAUAAAUGCCUCUGAGAAUUCCUAGUGCCUGAAAGCUCAAAACAAAUGUACAGGAAUCUUCUUGAGAUUGUGGAGAAGAUAUUCCUUAGAAAUAACUACUUUAUAUCCAUUAUUCUAUUUUGAAAUAUAUCAAACUUUCAUGGGUAGUCUUUUUUUUUUAGUAUGUUAAAUAUUUUUAGUGACCACAAAAUAUAAUCAUAAGGGAUCUUAUGGAUUUGUGCUUUUUUCCCCCCAAAAAAAGUCUUAAGUUCUUCCAUUCCAAAUUAUCUAUCCAGGGGGAUUUUCAGGAGUUAACAAUGUGUAAAAUGUUCCUUGUUCAAGACAAAGACAAAAAUGAAGCUUUUUAAAUUGCCCUUGUCACAGUUAGGAUAAAACAACCUCCCUAUCACCAGAGCAUGAUUCAACCCCCUAUUACCGAAGCAUUACCUUCCCAAUUCCUUUAGAAAGAGGUGGAGUUUGAAAUCGCAAAUAGAUAACAAAAUUUAAGCCCCCAAAGAGAGAGAGAAUAUGUAUCAAAAUAGCUAAAUGCAUGUAAAUAAGUACUAAAUUUAACAGGCAUGAGUAAUGCAAACCUCACAGGAGCCAUCUUGCCUAGGACUGCUUUCACGCUUCCAAUUCAAAGGAUAUAAAUGAGCUCCCCCCACACUUAAAUAUGGAAUAAAAAGACAGUUGCACCGGACUAUAGAAGAGGUAAGCCCAAAUUCACAGAGGUUUUAUUAAAAACAGGAAAAGGUCAGUCCUCUUCCCCCAAAGGAAUGUCCAGGGCUUGUAGGAAUUAUUACUCCAAGAUAGUUUCUUUAUUAAAUUUGCUGUGCAGAAAUAGAAAAACAAGGCCAGGGGAGAACUAGAAAGACACAGAAUGUCUUACUUUUGUCCAGCCUAAGCACUGCCACAAUCUAAAUUUAAUGCCAAGAUACCUCCUCUUCACUGUAUCUAUAAAUCAGAUACAUGUAAAAACCUAGAGUAAAUCCUUAAUGAACUAAGAAAUUAUGCAAUUAAACAAUCCACUAAUGAUAAAUAUGUCAUCUAUGUGCUUUCCUCAAAAUAAAACAAAUAAGAUAAAUUCAGAGUAUUGUCCCAGAUAUAACAUCUGCAAAAAACCUCCCUGCUCACCAAUGACAUGAAACAGCCAUCUACAUUUUAACCUAUGUUUGCUUCUAGUUAAAAUCAAGCAUUCGUUAAUGAAUUAGUUUGAGUGAAUUUAUAGAUUGAGGGCAGCCCAGCACUGCCUUGUUUAGCAAACAUUUUUCAACAUGGGCAGUCACAGGGAAAUCUCAAGCCCAAGUUAAGUGCCAACUUAAAAUGGAUUCCCGAGACACCCCUGGCGUGUGAAUUAAUUCUAUUUGUAUUAAUAUUUGGAAUGUCACGCAGGAUGCCGCAGCUGGUUUUGCAUGACACUCUGGCACUCUCUCCACAGCAUUUUUAUCAUUAAAAUGACCAUGUUUUAAAAGCAAUGACAUACCGUGUGAGAGACUUUAUAAGAGUGAGAAGGAUGAAAAGCUGGAAAUUUCUCUAUUGGCCUCUGCCUAUUAAACACCCUACCUUUACAACAGCAGGACACAUUUUGGUGUCAAAGAACAGGGCACUGUAUUCAAUUUCGGUGCAGUGAGGGGUUUGAGUAAUCCUGUCUCUUUACAUUUGAGAUCACAGCACUUCUAGAAAAGUCAACAGAAUCAGCUGCUCCAAAAUAAUGUCCACAAGUCAGGCAUACUCACACAAAAAUACUCCUUGUGAGGAGGUAAGAAAUUAAAAUAACAUCUGGCAGAGAAAAAUCUGUUCUCAAGAGCUAAAACCAAAGAGGAGUGUCAGAGCUUGAGGUCUUCUCUUUGGAAAGCCUCUGCAACCAGCACUACUGGUUUUGUGGCAACAAGACAGAGCCAGUUUAGAUCAGUGAAAACUAGGUACAAACGAAUACCUCCCUUCAGUCUACAGUUUCAAAUGUUUCUUAACAUCAAACACUUUUACGGCUUGGAAAUGAAAACAUCACCUGGUUUGGGUUGUAUUUCUUUCCCUUCCAGGAUUCUGGUGAAGAUGGCAAUAAAACUAAUAUGGCUACAGAGAGCAGGAAGAAUCAUGAAAACAAGGAUAAGGUGCACGCUACUUCAUCAGCUCUUAAUCAAGAAGGAACUCUAGCCUUCCCUCCACAGAAGACAAGAGUGAAUGAGGCCAGGAGAUUGAGAAAAGCGUGCAGCUAACAGGUACAAAAUAUCAGAAGUUGUCCAAAAUACAGGCAUUCCUUACCAAGUGUAUUACAACUUGCACUAAUAAAUUUCAAGUAGAUAUCAGCCCUUAGGCACAGAGAAGCCCGCUAUGAGUAAAUGAAAUAUGGCUGUCCUCUGAAUCAGAAGGGGAUAAAGGACAUGUGAAAUGGGUCUCUUUCUAUUCCACUCUCUACCCUACCCUGGUUAUGCUAGACCCUGAAUAAACUCCCUAAACCUCAAUAUAUCCUGACUGGGUUUUACUCUGGGCUUUUAAUGAGGAAGGAGUAGGGACAAAAAGAAGAAGAAAAAGAAAUUAUAGUCCCUCCUAUAAUGCCCCAAAACAAAUGUGAGAAUGCCACAUUUUCCUGACUCAAGUACCAGGCUUGGGGACUCUAUAGCUCCUUGACGGGAAGCCCUGUUAUAUUAAGAAAAAGGCAGAGGUGUUUCAACUGCUACUAGAAAGAUAAAUAGCCUAGGAUAUCCAUUAAUGCCCCA